UCCCAGGCGCUGGUGGAGUCCGGAGGGGAUGUGAAAAAGCCCGGAGACUCUCUCCGCCUCUCCUGCAAAGCCUCCGGGUUCACCUUCAGCAGCUACGGCAUGAGCUGGGUCCGACAGGCUCCCGGGAAGGGGCUGGAGUGGGUCGCCCGUAUCAGCAGUGGCAGUGGGAGUAGCACAUACUACGCUGAUGCAGUCAAAGGGCGAUUCACCAUCUCCAGGGACAAUCCCAGCAACCUGCUGUAUCUGCAAAUGUCCGGCCUGAAGCCCGAGGACACCGCCCGCUAUUACUGCUUGCGGCACCAGACAGCUGAUUGGCGCCACAAUCCUGGGAGGGGGAGAAGUGGAGCGGUGACAGCAUAA